AUUCAAAAAGUGCGGGGCUAACUUCACACACGUAACGAAACGUCCGUUUCUCGAGGAAUCGUCAGUAAAUUAAUUCCAGAUAAACAAUUGUCAAGCCUCCGCUACAAUGACUUUCAGUCGUAUUUACAAUAUGGUCGUACAGUUGUAUCGACGAUCGCUUGCGAUUAUUUUCGAUAUCCUUAUCAAUGCGGUUGUAAUAACAGAUAUAACGAUUAAUCAUAAUCGGCGUGUUCUACGGGGGAGCGAGAGACAAGCGUAGCGCCGGGCCCGUAGGCGUGGCAGGACGGCCCUGCGCCAACAGGAUCGCGAUCCGGAUUCAUCGAAAUUAUUCCGGUUUCGAUCCUGCGUUAGAGAGAGAGUGCCACUUGCAGCGAAGAAAAGCUCACGGCGAGCGUGUCAAGCGCGGCUGAUCGACAUUGGAGCGAUCGUACUUCGUACUUGAUCGACGAUCAACACUACAUCGAUUCAUUCUGCUCGAAGCUAGCCAACGGGGCGUACGUACGUACAACCGCUCUCAUCCCAGCUGCAACGCGUACAGCGCAACGAGUUUCACUCCGGAUCGAUUCUUGGACACGUAGCCGUGCAUCGGUGCACCUCGUACACCAUACGGUGGCUCGUACGACGUCGCGAGCAACGACGUAACCUACAAAAGACGCAAAA